GCAGCGCGGGGGCAACCCUGGCGGCGAGCGGCGAACGGGUGAGUAAUACAUCGGAACGUACCCAGAAGUGGGGGAUAGCCCGGCGAAAGCCGGAUUAAUACCGCAUACGAUCUGUGGAUGAAAGUGGGGGACCUGGUAACGGGCCUCAUGCUUUUGGAGCGGCCGAUGUCCGAUUAGCUAGUUGGUGGGGUAAAGGCCUACCAAGGCGACGAUCGGUAGCUGGUCUGAGAGGAUGAUCAGCCACACUGGGACUGAGACACGGCCCAGACUCCUACGGGAGGCAGCAGUGGGGAAUUUUGGACAAUGGGGGCAACCCUGAUUCAGCCAUGCCGCGUGCGGGAAGAAGGCCUUCGGGUUGUAAACCGCUUUUGGUCGGAAAGAAAAGGCCACCUUGAAUAGGGGUGGUUUUUGACGGUACCGGCAGAAUAAGCACCGGCUAACUACGUGCCAGCAGCCGCGGUAAUACGUAGGGUGCGAGCGUUAAUCGGAAUUACUGGGCGUAAAGCGUGCGUAGGCGGUUUCUGAAGUCCGCUGUGAAAGCCCCGGGCUUAACCUGGGAAUGGCAUGUGGAAACUAGCGGACUUGAAUCUGGCAGAGGGGGGUGGAAUGCCGCGUGUAGCAGUGAAAUGCGUAGAGAUGCGGCGGAACACCGAUGGCGAAGGCAGCCCCCUGGGCUGAGAUUGACGCUGAGGCACGAAAGCGUGGGGAGC
rnacentral:rRNA from 1 species